rnacentral:lncRNA from 1 species
GAGAUGCGGGCAUUGGGCCCUGGGAAGCGUGGGGAAGGGGAAAGGAGAAAGCCAGGUUAACUACGUCAGGAUUAAUGUGUUCCACUUCUGCUGCCUGAGAAAAUGGAGAAAUUAAGUCCUUUCCAUGGAUCAUUCCUUCUGUAAACAGAGAUCACAAAGCAAGAGCUUCAGCAUCCUCGUGAAAAAGACAUUUUGUUCUGGGUGUCAUCAUCUCCUUCCACUACAGCUUGCAAUUGGAACAAGCUUCACAUCCUGGGGGUGCUGCCUAUCUCUGUCUUGAUUUCUGUCUGUCUAUUCCUCCCAUUGACAGGAAUGUCGUUUGUAUCCUCCACGCAGCAGUUUGCAGAAAUCCAGCAAGGUUUAUGGUUUAUGUUGCCCAGCAUGUAUAAACACAACGCUCUCAAAUGCUUUUUAAAAAUCUAUGAAUUUGUUAGAUGUCUUCACAUCCUGGUCCUCCUACCCCAAUUCUCAAACACAAAGUACUCUGUUGCCCUAUUAUAGUCCUGCGAUAGUUCUGGCUAGGAUUAGGUUGACGGUCUAAGCCCCAAGAAAGGCCUGGCAUUUUCAUAGCAGGCUUUCCCCAGUGCUUUGAGUCUUCCUCUCUCACUCCCUUUUUCUUUUUCCCUCGGAGGAGGGGGUGUUGGGGGUGGGAGGUGAUUAGUAAAUGUUUCAGGUAAUCUGUGAAUUCUUAAUAGUCAUAUUUCCGUGGUGGAAGAUCUCCCUAUUUCUCUGAUGUGACAGGUUACAGAAACCUUGGUGUUGGGGGUUUUACAGAUAUUUACAAGUUCUAGGAGUUUGAACUUUGGGUCAAGAUGUUGAUUCCUUUUAAUGUGCGAGGGUGAAGGAGGUUUUAUUUUGCUUUAUUCUUUUGGAUAUUAUGAGAUGAGAUUGUAUCCAGUCUUGGCUGUAACCUAUACCAUAAAUGCAGAGCUGCAACCAUUAUUUCUGUCUCUUUCUCCUUUUAUCACCUACACUUCUAGAGAUAUUACUUUCAGUUUUAUUGCAAAUCAUCUGUGUCUUUAGUUUAAACCAUUAUUUUUCAUAUACCCCAGGC